AUGGCCUUGGUCAAGUCCCUAAGGCCUCUUCCAAUGGAGAAUUCUGGGAUUCUAAGGAAAAGUUGCACACCUCAGUUUCUUCAAGUUAAAUGGGUCUGGGAAAGGACUCUGGCCAUGGAGAGUGACCCCUUCCCCAUUUGUCUCUGUUGCAGCAGCAGUAACUAUGACCUGGACUACAAGCUGUACAGGGAAGAUGUCCCCUACCGUAGUGUGUAUGAAUGCCAAAGAAUCCCUCCACUCAUUAACCGCGUGCCUGUCAAGAUCCGGAGGACCCAGGUGGGCAUGGGGAUCAAGAGCAGCUGCAGUCCCCACAAGGGCCCCAGGAAGAGCCACCUGCCCCAAGAGCAAAUAAAGCUCCAGACCGAGGAGCUGCACUCCAUCAGGGGGGAGCUAAGCCAGAUCAAAGCCCAGGUGGACCGUCUGUUGGAGACUCUGGAGCGCAUGGACCAGCAGAGGGACCAGCUUCUGGGUCAAGCACCUCCAACUGGGGGCCCAGCCUGCACUCCAAGGUCAGAGGCCAGUGAAGAAAACAGGGCCCUGGUGAGUAAGAGAUCCUCACGCAGCAACACUGAAGCCAAGCAGGAGCCCAGGGGCCAGAGGCCCCAUCCAGAAGCAGACAGCCCCGAGGACAGCAUAGACCCAGAGGAGACAGUGAGUGGCCCGGCACCUCCCCUCAUCCUCACCCUCCCUGCGUUUGAGUCCUUGUGGCCUCCCUGUGAACAAGGGAGAGACUCGGGUUUGUGCGGGAGCCCACAGUGGUGGUUGAGGGGAGACACAGGACUUCUACCGCAGGCAAGCGCCAGAAGAUGGGCCCUGCACUGCGUUGUCUCCCCCUCUCAACUCAGGCUUGAUGAGCUCAGCUGGACUAGCUGGGCCACUUCUGGGCUGAAAUACCAUCUUCCCCCGGAAGCCGGGAGGCGGGCUUUGAGCACCACAGACAUCACAGCUGUGCCUCAUGGCCCAACACCCCUUGCCUGAGAACCACCUGGCAAGCUUGUUAAAACCGAUUUCUGCCUUUUCCCUGCCCCCACAUCUUAUAUUGUACCGUGCUCCCUGGGGAAGCUGUGGCACAUGGACCUUCCCGGAUGGAGAACAUCCAACCUGAGUCUGAUAAGAGCCCUUCGUGCAACAUCAAAGGGCCCAAAUGUUCCCUGACCUACCAUAUCCUCCUCCCUUAUUGGUAGUCCCUGAGAUAGGCCGAGCCCCGGGUUUGUUUGGGCCAUCUCAACAGGGCCCAGGAUGCCGGUGGAGGGGCUGGCAGUAAUGAACUUCCCUUCCUCCACCUGUCCAGCUUUGCCCCUCCAACUGCUGGGCUCUGGAGGGCCAUUACUAUUGCCCAGGCCUGAGUCACAUCUGGGGAAAGACUGGGCUAGAGGAAGGGAAUGUUUGUUUUAUCUAGGGGUUCUGGGUUCCCAGGCCUCUAGAAGAAUCUCGAGGAGCACUGAGCUGCCCGAGCUGCCCAGAAAGAGAUGUGGGGGUGAGGGGAGAUGUUGGCAGACAGACCUCCCUUUCCCAGACACCCCAUGGCUCUCAUUCCUCCUGGCCAGAGUCCUGCUUCUGUCUUUCUACAGGUGAAGAAUCAUGCAUCAGACCAGGAGGGCAGUCAGUAGAAGAGUGGAACCCCUCCCAGCUCCUUCCCAGGCUUCCUUCCUUGCCUCGUAUGAUUUUUGGAAGGCCUCCUGGUGGCACCUGUGCAACCAGAGGCACCCAUUUUGGAAGGAGGACAAUGAAGUGGAGGCGUGGCUCAGCCGCACCAGCAGGGAAGCCUCUCCGUAAUGGUGGCUUUGGCUUUGGAGGCCAAGCUUCCAGACAGCCGGGGGGGCUGAGAGGGAGGCCUGCAACUGCCUAGCACAUGCUCGCCAUCCUCAUGAGGCUGAGGCCCAGUCUUGCAAGGGGCAGCUGAACAGGCCCCUGCCUUGGGAGCGCCUCAGCCCCUCUGACUGCAAGCACUGCUUUGGCUGCUUUUCUCUCCUCUCCAGGUCCUGCCAGUUCCAAGUGUGGAGCGUCCUGCAGCCACCAGCCCCGCUUUCCCAGUUCCAGUGAUGCACAGGAAGAUCCACUCAAGUUCUACAGUCCCUUCCGGUCUUUAAGCUCCUCGGUGUGUGUCCCACAUAACCCACCUUUGGUUCCAGACUGCCCACCCACCCUAUAAAGCCCUCAUUCAGAAUAGGGAUAUCAUUUUUACGUCCUGUUUCUAUCUUGUCUCUCGCUUGACACUGUGUAUUUCAGACCUGCUCUGGAAAUGCUGUAAUGUCAAAGGGGAAGAAUAAAAUUUGUAUUUUUCCCUGGUCA
rnacentral:lncRNA from 1 species